GUGACACAAUCUUCCGACAAAGAUAUGGGCUUAGUUUCGUUCAGACGACUGUUACUCAAUUCAGACCUGUGCCUGGUCUCGGUCAGGAUCCUAACACAGAGGUGGAUUUGGAACUGGAGUUCAAUGCGACCUCCACAGUACCUAUCCCCAAGGACAGUGACAUUGUUGAAACAUUGAAAGAGGCUGUGACCAAUCCAAACUCUAACUUCAACUUAUCUUUGGAUCUGAACUCCAUCACUGUGAUAAAUACCCCUGCUACAACAACUGUUCCUGCUACAACUGCCAUAACAACGGCACCUCCUCCAGUGGUGGAAUUACAAGUCACCUUGCAGCAAGCUUUUGUACCAGCCUUGACUGACCCUCAAAGCACAGAAUUCAAAACACUAUCA